rnacentral:rRNA from 1 species
UACGAAGGGUGCAAGCGUUAUCCGGAUUCAUUGGGUUUAAAGGGUGCGUAGGUGGGGCGUUAAGUCAGUGGUGAAAUCCUGCAGCUCAACUGUAGACUUGCCAUUGAUACUGGCGUUCUUGAGUGCGCUUGAAGUAGGCGGAAUGUGCCGUGUAGCGGUGAAAUGCUUAGAUAUGGCACAGAACACCAAUUGCGAAGGCAGCUUACUAAGGCGAUACUGACACUGAGGCACGAAAGCGUGGGGAUCGAACAGG